rnacentral:lncRNA from 1 species
AAAUAACUCUAAUGUGAUUUAAGUUACGUUCACUAUAUAUCAACGUGACUUAACUCACGUAGGUUAUACCUCAACUUGAGUCAAGUCACGUAGGUUAUAGACCAACGUAAGUUAACUCACAUUCUGCUUGUAACAUUUGACAUAACAGCUGAAUUGGAUUUUUUUCCCUAUUUUCCUUCAUUUAUUCAUACUUUCAUACAUCAUUCGUUCAUUUUCAUCCUUGUAUUUAUCCAUUCUUGCAAUAAUUCAUUCAUACAUACAUUAAUUCAUUCAUUCAAGAUUUGAAUCAUUCAUUCAAUCAAAAUUAAGAUAGCAAAAUUAAAUCAAAAUUAAGAUAUCAUUAUAUCACAUCAUAAUCAACAUCAACACAUCUUAAACAGUUUCACAUAUUAUAAUUAACAUCAUCAUUAAGUCUUAAUGCUAUCCCAAGCUUCAACUCUCGACAACUCGUGCAACGAAGGUCGCAAAAUCUAACAAGGCACUCUGUUUCUGGGUCACUUGCGAGGCGAGAGCCUCUGCUCGCCGUGGCGAGUUCAGGUCAGAAUCCCACAAGUUUCAUUCUACAAUCUUUCCAGGUUCAAUCUCAUCCUACAUUCUUUCCUAAUCAUUAUUAGACAUGUUGAGGCACUCAAAAGCAUCUAAGGAUCAACUCAAAAGUCAAAAUCACGAAAUCUUGCAUGCUAUCUGGUCAAGCUCGCUAGCAGAGUUCAUCUGCUCGCUAUGGCGAGCUGCAACGUGCAACUCGCGAGGCGGGGAAAGGUUGCUAGCGAGGCGAGCGAUGAAUGUCGCUACGGGCAGAAGUGCAGUUUUUAUGAAAAAUCAUUAACUCUCAUGAUUUUAAGCCUAAUCUUGAUUCCAGAAUUCAUCAUAAUCAUUAUCUAAGGUCUAGGGACAAUUUCUACAUCAAUCUAACAAUUUUUCACCGUUUAAUCAUCAAUUCUACCUAUUUGACCUAAUUUCCGAUUCCUCUUUAACUCAUUCUAAUUCAUGUUAAAUGUAACCGUUGAUUCACAGACUUAAUAGAAUUGCAAAGUUAGUCUCACCCUUACCUUAUAGAUGAAAAUCGCAGCCCUCUUGGUGGUUCUCCCUUCUCUUGGCUUUUUCUCCAUUUUCUCCAAAAUUGAUCGUACGUACGUUCUGUUUUUCUAAACUAGGUUUCCCUAUUUAUAUCUCCUCCAAUUAUCUUAUCUUAUUUCUCUCUCUCUCUCUCUCCCCCAAAACUCUAAAAUCUCAAAACAACCCCUAAACUCAAUAUUUAUUUUAUUUUCAAAUCUUAUUUUAUUAAACAAUAAAAUAAGUCACAACUCCUCUUAAAUCACACAUAUAUUAUAUAAAUAUAAUAUAAACUCAUCUAAAUAACUUAUAGACUCAAUUAAAUAAUUAAAUAAUUCGAAACGGGCGUUACAUGAAGGAUCAUAAUGGCCCCUUGGCGAUCUCCAUAUGGCAGCACGUGAAUUAGUGCAAUCAUACUCCUCGACAAGCUUCCCCAAAUAGAGCUUCUUAAAGUGCUCCAUAACUCAUGCCUACAAACACAAACAAACACAACAAUAUCAACACAAGUAUAUACCAAAAAAUAUUAUCAUAAGUUAUUUAUAAUAUGCUAUAGAAAAGAAAAAAAAUAGCCAGAUGUAACCACCAAUGAAGCCAACUCCUAGGUCCAUAGCCUAUGAUAGCCAGAUGUAGAGAAAAGCAAGUGUCAUCCAACCCCAGGAUCAUUAAUGUACCCUGUAUAAGUCCUGCAUCCCCUCAAGCCAUAUCAAAUUAACGUUUUUGUUGGUCUUGGUGGCGACAAGUAUGAGGCCAACCUAGAACAACAAAAACACCUUAAUGCAGUGUGUCCUAGUCCUCUCGAGCUCCUCCGUCUCGUCCUCAUCAGCAGGCUCCUCCAACACAUUACACAUAUGCAGGAGUCUAUUGUACGACUCCUUUAGUAGGAAUACUAAUAUACCCAACCCACUGUUUCCACGUCUCCUCCUCAGCCUCAUCCUCCGUCAAACCAGCUCACUCUGCAGCAGCUCAAUACCCCUCUCAUAGUUGCAGUCAUCGUAGUCCAUGAGCCUCCCAUGGAUGGGGAGGUGCAGAAGACACCACAUUAUCUAGUGAACUGGUCAUCCCCCCAACAGGAAGAUGGAAGUUGUUGGUCUCCUCAUACAUUCUCUCUGACAAGGUAGUGAUGAGGUCAGGGCUGAUGGUAGAACACCUUGUCUUAAGGAGGUGGCAAGACUGGAUCAUCGAUCCCAAAACCAAUCAACAUAAUGUGUGGGGACUGUCAUCUUAUCACUCCUAAUAUUCUUCCCGUUCGAGGAAAGGUUCAGCUUGUGCUCCUCCCGAAGCUAAAAUACAAAAUACUAAACGAACAACAAGCCGUUAAAAAUAUGAGCAUUUGAAUAACUAAAAAAGACAUAACAAUUUAAUCCUAAAAAAACAAAAAUUAAAAUUAACAAUAAACAUUUUAACAUAAAAAUUAAAUCCUAAAUUUUUUAAAAACAUAUAAAUUGACGCGUAACAAAGAUAUAAAUUACAAUAUUUUAACAAAACAAUUAAAUUAUAAAAUUUAAAUAAACAUAUCAAUUGACGCUUAAAAAAGACAUAAAUUAAAAUAUUUUAAGAUAACAAUUAAAUCCCAAAAUUUAAAUAAACAUAUCAAUUGACACGUAAAAAAUACAUAAAUUAAAAUAUUUUAAGAUCACAAUUAAAUCAUAAAAUUUAAAUAAACAUAUCAAUUGACGCAUAAAAAAGACAUAAAUUAAAAAUAUUUUAACAUAACAAUUAAAUCCUAAAAUAAAAAAAAAACAUAUCAAUUGACGCGUAAUAAAUAUAUAGAUUAAAAUAUUUUGACAUAACAAUUAAAUCUUAAAAUUCAAAUAAACAUAUUAAUUGGCGCGUAACUAAUUAAGACAUAAAUUAAAGUAAAUAUUAGAAAUUUUAACAUAACAAUUAAAUCGUAAAAAUAAAAUAAACACUUUAAUAUGACAAUUGAAUCGUUAGAAAACAAUAAUGAAAACAAACAUAUAAACAUAUCAAUUAAAAUAAACAUAUCAAUUGACGUAUAAUUAAAUAAAAUUAAACAAUUAAACUUACUUUGGCGUCGCUCCAAAGCCUGCAUGCCACGUGUCUACCGAAAUCCCGUAGAAGCAUCAUGUUAGUAGGCCCCCUAGGAAAAUCCACUGUUUCGGCUUCCUCUUGAGCCUCCUGCUCAGCCUCACCCUCCUGCUCAUACUGAGGUUGAUGCUCCUCAUACUGAGUUUGUUGUUGUUGGUGCUACUGUGUCGGGUCUACUACUUGCAACUAGCCCGCCUCAAACAACGACUCCUCCCCAUGCCCCCUCAUCAUACUCCUAUGUACUUCCUUAUUUGCUUCUAACACGAAGGCGCAUAAACUGUUUUUCAGCCCCUGCACUGCUGGUCAUGGUCUCCGUGCCUGCUCUCAAUUUGUCUGAUCACUCAGAAAUAUCUACACAACAUAAAUCAAUGCAAAUUAUCAAUGAUUUUCAUAGGGAUAUUGUGUCAUUUCUAACUAAUCAACAACAACAAUUCAGAUUGUACCCAAACUACCGCAUUUUGUCAUUUCAAUCUCUAAACUACAAUAUUGCACUUAAACUCACUUUAAUCAACAUUAACAAUUCAAUUUCUAACUAAUUUCAUAAUUAACAUCGCAAAAAUCAAACAAAUUUUCAUUGAGACAUUUAUCAAACACAUAAAGUUCAACAUAAAAUCUUAACAAUUUCUAAAUCUUAACUACCACAUUUGAGUCAUACUUACUCUAAUCAACAUCUAAACUACAAUUUCUAACUUAUUUGAUCAUUAACAAUCCAAAAAUAAAACAUGCAAAUCCAAUGUAAAACCUAAAAUUUUAUAACUUUUAUGAAAGAAAAUCUAACAUUUAAACAAAAAAAAAAAGCCAAUGCAAGAGUUGGAGAACACUUACUUGUGAUUAUAGUAGAAGUUGAUGUUGAUUUGGUUCAGCUUGAGCAAAUUUGCACUUGGAGGAAGAAAAUUCGAGCUUUUUGAUUUGGAAAACAAUGGUUGUUGUGUUCUAUUCGUGUUGUUUCUAUACCAAAAUGAAACGUAACUUGGUACCGACCAUGACUUAACUUACACUGGCUUAAAGAGUUCAAAAGGUUGUAGUAUGGUUCGUACCAAAACAAAGAAAUUGCAUGGAGUCUCAAUUUGGACUAGCAAAGUAUUAAAUAUAGUUAGGGUGGCUCAAAAUGGCUUUGAGUGUCAAACAAUGUGUCUCGUGUGUAUGAAAAUAUGACCAAUAAUUGAACAAAACUUAAUUAAACUUGUAAAUGGGGGAUUUUGAAUAAGGGUUGUUGUUGAAAAAAAAAGAGUAAAGGGAAUUAGAAUGAUAACUUACUAUUUCUUAAAAAAAAGAAUGAUAACUUACUAUUUGAGGUUUUUAUGCCCACGACACACAUUAAGGAUCAAGAUCCCUUCAUGAAAUAAUGUUCCCUAGGGUUAACCGCGGACUUAUAUUCUCACAAGCGUUAAAGUGGACAUUAGAAAACGUCAUACAAGGCAUAACUCCUAAUCUCUCGACGAAUUACCAUAGCGAUUAGAAUAUUCUAGAUUUGGUUAUUUGACAUAAUUGCUAAUAGAAAUUUAACCAACAUCACUUUCAAGACCAAAUGAUCCAAAAAACAUUAAGAACAAUAAAUAUUAAAUAAGCAUGAUUUGAAUAGUAAUGACAAAAAGACAAAGGAUCACGUGUUUGCCACAAUUCGAAAGAGAUUCAUCUUAAAAAUUCUAAUAUUUAAAUUGUAGUUACUCAUGGUAACUGAAUACAUCAUCAAAAAGUAAAGAAAAGAAAACAUACAAAUUAGCAAAGAGGUUGUUUACGAAUAGUUACCGAACAUUUGCUCUCAUUGCAAGAGCAUAGGCCACGAUGUUUUAGCAUGUCAUUAGCUGCAUCCUCACAAUGUUACAAAUAGAGUUGAUCAUGGUAAAAUAUCAUUGCAUCAGAACAUAGUACCAAGCCAAAUGUUCAUAAAUGGGUUGAAAAAGAAAAUAAUCGAGGUAUCGGUUCAUCCAAAACAUUUGAAGCUCUUGUUUAUUUAGGAUGGUGAUAUUGUUUCGCGUCUAGAACCCAAUGCCAUGAUGCAACUAACACUUGUACAAGCUCCCAAGGCCAUGAAAUCAUUCCACUUUGCUUUAAAUAAUGUCACAGAUGAAACAGUGGUACGCCAGAAAUUAAUGAACAUAUGCAUGUUUUUGUUGACGAUGAUGUAGAUCAAUACAUGAAGGAUUCGGUAGAAAUAGCAAAGAAGAACCCCGAUACAACAAAUGAUACAACUUCCACACAAAGGGUCCAGCCUAUAGCAACACAGCAGGAGGAUUUUGUUCCAGAAACGCAGCUCAAGCAGCCUCCUUUGUGGUUGUCACUUCGCAUAGAUGACCAAUAAUGCAAAAGGAACUUGAAUUGAUCAAGCCUUCUUUGGCUGCUCAAAAAAGAUGACAAGGAAGCUCUCUUCACACUGUAUUUGACUAAGAAUCAGCCUAUCAUACCCCGCUCUAGGAGUGAACCAUCUCACAUUCCUCAAUGAAGCUCUUCUAUUAGAAUUUUGGAGGAAUAAUCAACUAUGAUUCUCGGGUUUUCUCUCAAAAAUUGUUUUGCACAUCAUCCUUAUUUUGGUAUAACACAUACUAUUCUUGGUACAAUUUGGUGGGAGACCAUUAUGGUUUGCCAAAUUUUUUUUUUCGUAGCUCUUUUGAUUUUUUUCCUUUUGCUUUCUUUUGGCCUUUUCUUUAGAGAGUUUUGGUUUGACCCUCUUUUAUAUAUAUUUUUCCCUUUCUUAAUUAUAUAUUAUAGGUGGAUGACAAAGGAUAGAGGUGAAUUGGGGUGUCAACCUAGUUUGGAUGUUCAGUUUUUUUUUUUUUUUAUGUUUUAUCUCGUUCUUAGUUCAUUUACAUAAAAUAUUUAUUUUUCAAAUUUUAACCAUUUAAUCUUUUUGUUAAAAAUUAAACCAUUAAAC